AGAGUUUGAUCAUGGCUCAGGACGAACGCUGGCGGCGUGCCUAACACAUGCAAGUCGAACGAGAUAAGUUGCUUCACUAAGCGUUGAACGAAGAACCCCAAGCAGGGAGAGCUUCACGGUUAAACAAGCUUGACAACACAAACAAUAUUCAAUGUUUAGUGAAGUGACUUAUUUAGUGGCGGACGGGUGAGUAACGCGUGAACAAUCUGCCCUGUACAGAGGAAUAGCCUCGGGAAACCGGGAUUAAAACCACAUGACACUUAAGUACCGCAUGGUGCAUAAGUCAAAUAUUUAUAGGUAUGGGAUGAGUUCGCGUCUGAUUAGCUAGUUGGUGGGGUAAAGGCCUACCAAGGCGACGAUCAGUAGCCGGCCUGAGAGGGUGAACGGCCACACUGGAACUGAGACACGGUCCAGACUCCUACGGGAGGCAGCAGUGGGGAAUAUUGCACAAUGGAGGGAACUCUGAUGCAGCGACGCCGCGUGAGUGAAGAAGGUCUUCGGAUCGUAAAACUCUGUCCUUGGUGAAGAAACAGACGGUAGCCAAGGAGGAAGCCCCGGCUAACUACGUGCCAGCAGCCGCGGUAAUACGUAGGGGGCGAGCGUUGUCCGGAUUUACUGGGCGUAAAGGGUGAGUAGGCGGUUGUAUAUGUCAGGUGUAAAAGGCUAUGGCUUAACCAUGGUCAGCACUUGAAACUGUACAACUUGAGUGCAGGAGAGGUAAGUGGAAUUCCU
rnacentral:rRNA from 1 species